AGGUCUUAUAAAAUCCAAUCUCGAGUGUUUGAAAGGCUUUUCACAGACUUCCGUGACUGCCUGAAUCAUGCGGAGUACUGUGAUCUUUUGUCAUGUGCCAAGCAAAAGUUUCAACCUAUACCAUCUGCAUGGUUGGGUUACUAGCUUUGCAGCUGGAGUACUGUGAUCUUUUGGCAUGUGCCAAGCAAAAAUUUCAACCUGUACCAUCUGCAUGGUUGGGUUACUAGCUUUGCAGCAUACGCGUAAAAGUGUGUACAGAAUGCAAGUCUACUGCACACAAAUAAAAAAGAAAAAAAAGGGUCCUCCCUUGACAUGCUUAAGACUAAUUGCAGAUAGUGCAAGCGUCUAUUCUGUUCCUGAUCGGUAUGUAAUCUUGCAAGACAUGUAAAUAGAACGUGACAGAGUGACAAGACUAUGAAUUCUAAAUGCAUAUUGUAAAGGUUUAUGUUCGAAAUGAAUGUGCUUUCAACCUACAUCAUGAUCAUGGAAUGCACAAGAGAAUGAGUAACUUGAGUCGAUUAGUCAGUUGUGAUAAUACUUCAUUUAUUACAAACCUAAUGCAGCUUUCCUAAUAUCUUAUAGGAGUAAAUAUUAAAGCUAUUAAUAUUUCAUUUUUUUUCAAUUGUGGCGAGC
rnacentral:lncRNA from 1 species